AGAGAGAGAGAGAGAGGCUCCUCCAUCUGUAGCAGAGGCUUGGGCCUCAUCCGCCUCCCUGCAUAUUUUCUUCUUCUGCUCAUCGUUGACCGGGGACGGGAUACGGCCGCUGAGUUUUUCUUUCUUCUUCGCCUCAUCGUCGUUGGCCUGGGGUAGUCUUCUCCCUCAGCAGACUCUAACCUUGGACCAGUCUGGCCUCUUAUGCUGUCCUAACCACAAGCUUGCUCCUCCUGCUCAUCAUCGUUGACUUGUGACGAAGUACGAGUGGCUGGGUGCUUAGUUGGGCACUCCUGGGCUCAUACGAGUGGAAGAACUGCACAGCUUUUCAAAGAACAAGUAGCGGUCAAAUAAUCCCGAAAGAGGAAAAAAUCAGCUUUUUUUCUCAAAUUCGGGAGAUUCUGUGGGUGCUUGGCGUUGGAAGCGAAGCUCUCUUCAUCACUGAGGAUGGAAUCGGACCAUUUCCCCCAUCUGGUGGAAAUAAAAUAAAAACCAAUUAAUGGAAUUUCAUGCGGUUGUUCAGUGAUGGGACGGCGUGAAAUAAUCGAAUUUCCUUUCCUUUUCUUCUCUCUCUUUUUAGUGCCAUCUUCUGAUUCUUCAUGCUAUCUGUGAACAGGGUUGACCAGCGGCAGCUUCCGAUCUCCAGCAUCAACGGCAUGGAUUUUGCAUCAAAGGGAAUAUCCUGGGCUGAGAGUAUAUUCCACAAAUGCGAAGACAUGUGCCGCGAGGGGAUCAUGGUCAAGGUUUGUGAGCUUCUAUCGUAUUUUUGGUGCCGUUUUUUCUUUUUCUUUUUUCCCUUUUAGGAAAUGCCAUUUUCUAAAGUUUUUCCAGCCCUGUGUUUUUCCUGUCUCAGAACUCCUGGUACUAAGAGUGUGAAUCCUUUUUUUUUUUCCAUGAAUAGGAACCUGGGAAAUUCGUGGACGCAGUUGGUGAACAGCUCAGGAAGAUCUACGAAGAGGUUACGGAUGAUCUGCUCAACCCAUUUUCUCUCGUCGAUGAGUCAACCCCCGAAGAUGAUUUGACUGCCGAUGCUCAUGAAAAGAGUACGAGUUGUUGCGACGUGAGGUCAUUGGAUGAGGACUCUUCUUCAUCACCAUCAUCAACUGUUGCAUCGCCUGGUCCACUCCAGGGCAGCAGGGGAGAAGAAUGUGGUGUGCUUGAUGAGAAUAAUGCGUUGACUCCAUGUGGGUCCCGUUCAUGCAGUAGCUCGAGUGAAGUGAGAGUCAACGCCGAGAAAAUGCCAAGUGCUUCAACAUCCGCCGACCAUUCAGAGCACAUCUCAUCAGGUGGGGUUCUUCAGUCCGACGUUCCACAGAAGUUGGAGAGGAGAGAAGAAGGUAAGAGCAAUAAAGUUUUCCAUCUGUUUCUUACUGCCCUCUCUUCUUUGCACCAGGAACACUAGCCCUAGUAGAUAUUCUGGCAGGGAUCUCCACGUCUCAGGCUGCAGUGGCUCAAUCUUCUGGAUGCCAACAUGAACAGGGACGCGGUUUAAGUGAGCCUGAAGCCUCCCUCCCAUCGCCAGCCCCUGGUAUGCCCUCCUGGGUCAUUCGCUUCUGUUACCCUUUCUCUCUCUCUCUCGCUCUCUCUCUCGGUCUGCUUUUCUUUUUUUCACUGGUUGUAGCUAGUGAUUGGAGACUAUAUUAUAUGCGGGUUUGAUGAGAGAGUAUAUUUUUCGCUUCAUCAGACCCUUGGGAGCCUUUGAAGCCUCCACCUCUCUACAACCACAUUGAGUAGUCCCAUGGCUUUUAUCCAAUCUCUUAAAACUACUUGUCUUCCUUUCUGGUUUGGUGGCUUCGCUUCUGUGAUGAGUGGGGGAACUUGAUGAAGUUUAUUUGGCUGACUUGGACCUUCCUGAGGAUUGAUGAAUGUGAACAUUGAGGUGUUCAAGCUGUGAGAUCUGCCCGCAUUAUGGGUGAUAGAUAGAUCUCAAGAAUGUGUAGAAAUUGUCUAGAGCAUCAUUCCUCAGAGACCUUGACCUUAUGUCAUACUUAGUUCUGCUGCUGUGGAAGGAGAGCUGACCUUAGGGUUGACUAUGUGGCAAAAAAAGGGGCUGUGGCUUUUAGGGCUGGUCUCCACCGAAACCUGCGCGGGCCGCCUGGCCUAUCUUAACUCACUGCCCUGUUUUCCUUGCCUGUGUGUGAGCAGAACCAUGCCGGGCUUUCAGGCUCACCUUGCCCACUGGGCACUCUCCUUUCAGGAUGUAGAAUCUGAUCUUUCCAAGGUCCUAACUGAUUGUUCUGGCUUUGCUUGGUGCAGAGGGCUCUGAUGGGCAUGGCGAGCAGAAGGCGGGGCAUUCUGGGAAGUUUGAGGCUGCAGACGCGGAGAGUGGGGGGGAUGAAGAAUUUGAUGACGUAGGGCUGGAAGACUUUUCUGACAGAGAGAAGCAUGUGGAUGACUUGGAAGAAGCUGACAGUUGUGAGCUUGCCCUGAUCUCGCAGAGGGCGAUGAAGAAUCACUCGUACAAGGUAAGAUUCGAACCCGUGUGUUGAAAUAUCUUGGAAAAAACUCGGUAUGGGAUUAAAGGAUAAAAUUAAUCCUCCACUAUCAAGUCAACACUAGCUUUGAUUUUGGUAAAACGGGAUCGAGUAGCUUUAAUUUCCUGUCUAGAACCUUAAUGGAGAGUGUAGGACCCAAGUAGGCUUAGAGAGAGAGAGAGAGGGCUUAUGUGCCCCAUUUACAGGGACUUGUUUCGACGCGGUAUUCUUGUAUUUGGAGUUCCUCUGUUGCCUGGUAGUGACUGACGUUUAGAAUUUUCUAUUUCCAGAAAAAGCUGAGAGAUGCCCUGGCCUCGAAUUUCUACUCUGCUAGGAAGAAGUGGGGAGCUCGCCUCGGAGGAGGCGCCGACGCCAGGCUUGUAGAGAGAGGUGCUGGAGGAUCUCCAGCCGCCUCCGGUUUCAGGGUCUCUCCGGACAGAGGCUUGUCAGCGCAGGGACCAUCACCGUGCGAGCCUGAGUGGGAGCUCGUCUAAGUAAGUUCUUCCUAGGUGCUUCCCGAUUUGGCUAAAAUGUGGCCUUGGCGAAGGAAUAAGUGCUAGGAACAGAGACGAAGAUGAGAAGCCAGUGAGGGUUGGGCGAUUGUUCAGUCUGGAACCAUUUACGUUGCUCUGACUUGUACGUGUCUUGUGAGAAGUGCGGACCAGUUGGGCUCAUCUCCAUCUCCGAUGGAGAAUGAGAAGUGAGAGGAGAGUGGAGGAGGGUAGGGGGAUUUUGGCGGGUCUAUGGGCCUUGAAUAAUAUACUAUUUUUGUCCCAAAAGAUGAAUGUCAACGUGUGACAGGGUGCACCUCACACGUAGUUCGGGGGUGUACUCAGGCUUCUGUGACAGGUGUCGCCCCCCUCGGGAAUCCAACCGCCACGGAAAAGCCUGAGAUGCGCCGCCCCCUUCCCCGUUCUUAUCAUCUUCGAGCAUCAGGAGGAAAGAAACACACGGAGCUCAGAGCCAGAGAGCAAUGGCUUCCAUGCAGAGGGGUGACGAACAAGCAGGGGUGGAGAAGGAAGAGGAGAAGGAGAUGUCACUGGAGGAGAUCGGCGAGUAUCGGGCUUUGGCCCAGCAGAACUCUGUCGAGGCCAUUAGGGCCGCAGAGGAGCGCUACGCCAAGGCCAGGGAGUCCACCGCCUCUGCUCUCAAGGAGACCAGGGAGGCCGUAGGGCAAGGGCUCGGCGCCGCCGUGGCCUACGCCGCCGCCAAGGGGGUGGAGGCCAAAGACGCCGCCGCGCAGGGAAUCCGCACGGCGGCGGACUACACGGCCGAGAAGGGCUCCGUGGCGAAGGAAUUCGCCGUGGAGAAGGGUCAGCAGGGUUAUCAGGUGGCCAAGGAGUACGCAAACCAGACGGCCACGAUGGCGUCGGAGAAGGCCGCCGUGGCGAAGGAGGUGGUAGCAGAGAAGGGUCGGAGAGGGAUGGAAAUGGCGGUGGAGCAGGGUUCGAAAGCGUACGAAGCGGCGAAGGACGCCACCAUAAGCACAGGGAAGACCACCGCUGAGUACGUCCGGGAGAAGGCCAUGGAUGCGAAGGAAGCGGCUGUUGGUGCAGUUCAGGGCGGAGAAGAGACCUUCAGUGGCGACAAGAAAGAGGGAGCAAUGGAGAUUUCUGGCCAAGUGGAGACUAGCGCCGAAGACUCUGUGUACAAAAUCCUCCUAGCUUCUGAUGCUUGACUCUCUUGCAGGAAAUCCAAGGGGAGGAAGCACGCCAGACGAAGGAGAAGACGAGGGGCAUGGCAGUUGCCGAUGAACGAUCAGCUCUGGAAGAAGAGCACGAGGGGGAAGAAGUGGAGCGCGAGCUGGGAUAUCUGAAAGCCGAAGGAAGGAGGACGACCGCUGUCGAGGACUUGUUCGAAGCCGUGGGGAAAACUGUGAUCGGCAUCGCACAGACGGCUAAAAACCUGGUAACUGGAGGAGAGGCGAAGCCAAGGGAAGGGAACGAGUAGGAAUACUACCACCUAGCAGGGGGCGGACAGCACGACAAUACCACCUUGCAGAUCGAUUACCCGCAGAGUAUUAAUGGAUAGUAAAGUCAGGGAUCCCUAUAGCCUGCAGAUCAUUGCAUAGGCCAGAUGUCAUCAACACGAAGUUAAUCAUCCUGCCGUUUGAAGAUCCAGUUCUUCUUGCAGUGUCUGUACAUUCCCUAUAUCAACACUGCCCCGACCUAUAUUUCUCUCCUCUUUGAAAGAUCGAUCUCCCGUGAUUCAAUCUAGACUGUCAAAUAUAGUUAAACCACCAAGAAAGGGAUCUCAGUCAUGGCGGAUUGCUUGCUCAGAAGAGCGUUCCAUGCCAUGGCGGGCUCCCGGAUAAUGGAAAACGAGCGAGAGUCGAGAAACUAUAACCAUUCUCAUAUCGCACAAACAGAGAAGUCCGCCAGUAGCGGGAACAGGGAAGAAGACGACGCACCUCAGCGCUCUCGUUGAUGGUGCCGACGUCGGCGGCGGCCCCAGGACCCUCCGGGUGGACGGUAGCU
rnacentral:lncRNA from 1 species